UACAGAGGUCCCAAGCGUUGUUCGGAUUCAUUGGGCGUAAAGGGUGCGUAGGCGGCGCGGUAAGUCGGGUGUGAAAUCUCGGGGCUUAACUCCGAAACUGCAUUCGAUACUGCCGUGCUUGAGGACUGGAGAGGAGACUGGAAUUUACGGUGUAGCGGUGAAAUGCGUAGAUAUCGUAAGGAAGACCAGUGGCGAAGGCGGGUCUCUGGACAGUUCCUGACGCUGAGGAGCGAAAGCCAGGGGAGCAAACGGG
rnacentral:rRNA from 1 species